AUCCCGUCCACCGAUUGACUAAGGUUUCCAGAGGAAGGCUCGUCCGCUCUGGGUUAGUCGGGUCCUAAGCUGAGGCCGAUAGGCGUAGGCGAUGGAUAACAGGUUGAUAUUCCUGUACCACCAUUAUUCGUUUUAAGCGAUGGGGGGACGCAGUAGGAUAGGCGAAGCGUACGAUUGGAUUGUACGUCCAAGCAGUGAGAUUGAGUGUUAGGCAAAUCCGGCACUCUUAAGAUUGAGCUGUGAUGGGGAGAGGAAAUUGUUUCCUCGAGUCGUUGAUUUCACACUGCCAAGAAAAGCCUCUAGCUAGAAUUGUGGUGCCCGUACCGCAAACCGACACAGGUAGUCAAGAUGAGAAUUCUAAGGUGAGCGAGCGAACUCUCGUUAAGGAACUCGGCAAAAUGACCCCGUAACUUCGGGAGAAGGGGUGCUCUUUAGGGUUAACGCCCAGGAGAGCCGCAGUGAAUAGGCCCAAGCGACUGUUUAUCAAAAACACAGGUCUCUGCUAAACCGUAAGGUGAUGUAUAGGGGCUGACGCCUGCCCGGUGCUGGAAGGUUAAGAGGAGUGGUUAGCUUCUGCGAAGCUACGAAUCGAAGCCCCAGUAAACGGCGGCCGUAACUAUAACGGUCCUAAGGUAGCGAAAUUCCUUGUCGGGUAAGUUCCGACCCGCACGAAAGGCGUAACGAUUUGGGCACUGUCUCAACGAGAGACUCGGUGAAAUCAUAGUACCUGUGAAGAUGCAGGUUACCCGCGACAGGACGGAAAGACCCCGUGGAGCUUUACUGUAGUCUGAUAUUGAAAUUCGGCACAGCUUGUACAGGAUAGGUAGGAGCCUGAGAUACGUGAGCGCUAGCUUACGUGGAGGCGUUGGUGGGAUACUACCCUCGCUGUGUUGGAUUUCUAACCCGCACCAUUUAUCAUGGUGGGAGACAGUGUCAGAUGGGCAGUUUGACUGGGGCGGUCGCCUCCUAAAGAGUAACGGAGGCGCUCAAAGGUUUCCUCAGAAUGGUUGGAAAUCAUUCAUAGAGUGUAAAGGCAUAAGGAAGCUUGACUGCGAGACUUACAAGUCGAGCAGGGUCGAAAGACGGACUUAGUGAUCCGGUGGUUCCGCAUGGAAGGGCCAUCGCUCAACGGAUAAAAGCUACCCCGGGGAUAACAGGCUUAUCUCCCCCAAGAGUUCACAUCGACGGGGAGGUUUGGCACCUCGAUGUCGGCUCAUCGCAUCCUGGGGCUGUAGUCGGUCCCAAGGGUUGGGCUGUUCGCCCAUUAAAGCGGUACGCGAGCUGGGUUCAGAACGUCGUGAGACAGUUCGGUCCCUAUCCGUCGUGGGCGUAGGAAAUUUGAGAGGAGCUGUCCUUAGUACGAGAGGACCGGGAUGGACAUACCUCUGGUGUACCAGUUGUCGUGCCAACGGCAUCGCUGGGUAGCUAUGUAUGGACGGGAUAAGUGCUGAAAGCAUCUAAGCAUGAAGCCCCCCUCAAGAUGAGAUUUCCCAACUUCGGUUAUAAGAUCCCUCAAAGAUGAUGAGGUUAAUAGGUUCGAGGUGGAAGCAUAGCGAUAUGUGCAGCUGACGAAUACUAAUCGAUCGAAGACUUAAUCAAAUUUUA
rnacentral:rRNA from 1 species